AGUCUAUACAGCCCUUUCUAGACCAUAAAUAUAAAUAAAUCAUGCACUUAAGUUUCCCUGUUUCGUAUUGUCGUAGGAGUUUCAGGAAUCAAUGCAAAUAUAGUUCAGGAUAAUCCACUUUUCUUUUUAAUUUAGGUCAACAUUUUCAGCCCUUUCAUGACCCUAAAUACAAAUAAAGCAUGCACUCAAGUUUCCCUGUUUCGUAUUGUCGUAGGAGUUUCAGAAGUCAGUGCAAAUAUAGUUCAGGACAAUCACAUUUCUUUUUAGUAUAAGUUGACAUUUUCAUCCCUUUCCAGAACCCAAAAACAAAUAAAAAACAUGCACUCAAGUUUCCCAAUUCACAGUUUCAGGAGUUUCAGGACGUACCACGUUUCAUUUUCUAGAAUUUGAUCGUUUCCCAAGUUCAAAUAUAUAUACAAACAAUCGUAGAAAGUUUCCUCCACAUAGUCACAGUUUCAGGAGUUUCAGGACAUACCACGUUCCAUUUUCUAGAAUUCCGUCAUUUCUCAAGACUAAAUAUAUAUACAAACAAUCGUAGAAAGUUUCCCCCAUUUCACAUAGUCACAGUUUCAGGAGUUUCAGGACAUACCACGUUUCAUUUACUAGAACUUGAUCGUUUCCCAAGUUCAAAUAUAUAUACAAACAAUCGUAGAAUGUUUCCUCCAUUUCACAUAGUCACAGUUUCAGGAGUUUCAGGACAUACCACGCUCCAUUUUCUAGAAUUCCGUUAUUUCCCAAGACUAAAUAUAUAUACAAACAAUCGUAGAAAGUUUCCUCCACAUAGUCACAGUUUCAGGAGUUUCAGGACAUACCACGCUCCAUUUUCUAGAAUUCCGUCAUUUCCCAAGACUAAAUAUAUAUACAAACAAUCGUAGAAAGUUUCCCCAGUUUCACAUAGUCACAGUUUCAGGAGUUUCAGGACAUACCACGCUCCAUUUUCUAGAAUUCCGUCAUUUCCCAAGACUAAAUAUAUAUACAAACAAUCGUAGAAAGUCUCCCCAGUUUCACAUAUCCACAUUUCCACGACAUGAGCGCAAAGGUAGUUCAGGACACGUUUUCUUUCAAUAUACAUAAGUUCCCGUUGAUGCUGUGCGCUGCAAGGUGGUGGCAUAGCACUGUCUUGGGCGUGGUAGGGGCGGGUGGUGGUGCGUUGGACUCAAGCAUCGCGGGUGAGAAGGAAGAUGCGCAGACUGACGCACUCACGCACCCUAGUUUAGUAUGUGAAGGGUAGACUCAGAACAUUCCAUUGUAGUAUUAAGAAAUGUAAAUUGAUGCGUCGUUAAGUCUUAUGGGAAAUGUGAUGUGAUGACGCUGAAUGUCUUAUAGGAAAUGUAAAUUGAUGCUUCGUUAAGUCGUAUAGGAAAUGUAAACUAACGCCGCUGGAAGUCUUUUAGGAAACGUUAACUCUCAUAGGAAAUGUAAACUAACAUCACUGGAAACCUUCGGCAACGCAAUUUAACGCCUCGGAAGUUAUAGCAAAUGUAAACUAAUGCCAUGUUAAGUCUUAUGGGCAAUGGAACCAACAAUUCGUAAGUCUUAUAGGCCGCAAAACUAACACCAUGCAAGUCUUAGGCCAUAUAACUGAACAUUUUUGAAGUCUUAUAGGCCACUGAACUGAUGUCUUGUAAGUCUUAUAAGGCCAUGGAACUGAGGUCUCUUGAGUCUUAUAGCCCACGAAACUUACGCUAUGUUAAUCUAUAGGCCACAGAACUGAUGCCUUGUAAUCUUAUAAGGCCAUGGAACUGAGGUCUCUUGAGUCUUAUAGCCCACGAAACUUACGCUAUGUUAAUCUAUAGGCCACAGAACUGAUGCCUUGUAAGUCUUAUAAGGCCAUGGAACUGAGGUCUCUUGAGUCUUAUAGCCCAUGAAACUUACGCUAUGUUAAUCUAUAGGCCACAGAACUAAUGCCUUGUAAGUCUUAUAAGGCCAUGGAACUGAGGUCUCUUGAGUCUUAUAGCCCACGAAACUUACGCUAUGUUAAUCUAUAGGCCACAGAACUGAUGCCUUGUAAGUCUUCUAAGGCCAUGGAACUGAGGUCUCUUGAGUCUUAUACCCCACGAAACUUACGCUAUGUUAAUCUAUAGGCCACAGAACUGAUGCCUUGUAAGUCUUCUAAGGCCAUGGAACUGAGGUCUCUUGAGUCUUAUAGCCUACGAAACUUACGCUAUGUUAAUCUAUAGGCCA